GCGCCGGUGAUGUAAGGCGAACAUCGCUGCUCGGAAAGCAGAAGAUGUGGGUUCGAGUCCCGCCUGGCGUU
rfam:Heligmosomoides polygyrus genome assembly, scaffold: HPBE_scaffold0008744